AUUGGAGUGUCCUUAUCUUAUAGGUUAUGUGACAGGGUCAGCCCAGAUGGCUAAAAAAGAGUGGUCGAAGGUAGAUACAUUAGUUCCAGAUUAAGCAGCUCCCUUUUCCCUAGGUAAAACAACAGGUACUAUUCCAGAACACUCAGGAACUUUCCAGAACUAAUUAAGGCAGGCAGGCUAAUUAGGACACCUGUAGCCAAUUGGGAAGCUGCUAGAAUGAAUUAAGGCUAAUCAGGACAUCUGGUUUAAAAAGGCUCUCACUCCAGUUAGUGAGGGAUGUGCAAGGAGCUGAGUGAGAGAGGGUGUGCUACUGGAGAAUUGAAGAGUACAAAUGCUAUCUAGCAUCAGGAGGAAGGUCCUGUGAAGCCACUCUGCUUUGUACCCAUCAUGUUCAUCAAGUUUUAUCUGACUGUUGUACUUUAUGAAAAACCAUAAAAUUCUAUGUAAACAUCUUGGCAUUAGAUGUUGACAUUUUCAAGUGAAAGGCCAGUUAACUCUUGCAGAAAGCUGGGUUUCUGCCUCCAUAAACAAAACAAAGAAAUGCAUGCAGCCUUCACUUGGACAUCAGCUGGAAAAUGUGAAAAACAAUACAGUUCCUGGGAAACACAUUAAAAGAAACAAUGCAUAAAGCAUAAAGACGUGAUCUUGAAAGUUAUACUGUCCAGUUCAUCUCCUAGAUGAAGAAGUGAGGCACCAUUCAUACAAGCGAGAGAAAUGUGUUUACUCAAAAGGUCAAAUAAAAAAGGAAUGGGGUGAAAAGAUUUCCCACUUACCAGCAGGAGCUGAAUUUAAUUAUUCCAUGCUACUGCUCAUGUCACGUGAGGGAAUGAGUUCCAGGACAAUUCAGUCUCAGGCAAGUGAAGAUUCUUUGUUCAAAAUGGAAAAUCCAUCCAGGAUAAAGAGAAACUGUUGGUGGUUUUUAAAAAGUGAAACCAAUGAAGGGAGAAUGUACAGCACCAUAUUUAAUGACAAAGGCAUUACUGUUUCCGGAGACUGACAAUGUACAAAAGUAGGUCUAAUGAUGUCAGACUGAAAGACACUGGGAAAACCCCCCCCCCCCCCCCGCCCCAAA